GUUGGUGUUUGCUGUUGUUUUUGCUAAACUUAAAACCUCUGUAUAAAAGGUAGAUGCAAGCAUUUUCAAAGCAACUUACUUCCAUUUUGUAAUAGCCUAUGAGAUCAGUCUUGAACAAACAGAGGAAGGGAGGUUCUGAAUUAAAAAGCAUUUUUACAGCAUCCAGUAAUGCAAUGGCUGGACGACCACGAUGUGUCAGAUUAACUGGGUGGACACACUGGAUAUUAUCAACAAUUCUGCUGCUGUGGAGUUACCAGAUCAGUGGACAAGGACAAGUGGAAAGCUGGUCUAUGGGAUGAAGGCCUGGGGACAGCUGCACCAGAUACCCUGAGAGGUAUGGCUCAGUGUCCCAACCCUGCCAGUGGAACAGGCCGUGCGCCCUGCACCUCUCCUGCUGCAGGGCAAAUUACUGUCUUUGAAGUUGUUUGUGGAAGGGAGUUGGACAUGACUCAAGGUUUUGUACCAGUGUAGGCAAGGUGUGCAAUGUGCUCACUGCCACUGAGUUACUCUUUGGGGACUUCAACAUCUUGCAGAAGGGUGGGAGGAGAGAAAGAAAGGGGAGGGGGGAGAAGACAUCUGAUGGUGAUAAUGUCUUUCGUUAGCACAGCUAAAUUUGCAAGGUGUCAUUGUUCA
rnacentral:lncRNA from 1 species